ensembl:lncRNA
GCGCUCCCGCCUCCCCUGCGGCGGCCACUGCCCGGCCCUAGUCCUGGCCCAGGACAGAGAGAGAAUGAGGUCCUGUGAGGUCCACACUGGUCCUGACGCUUGGAGACCACUUCGGAUACAGACGUGCUCAGGGUUGUUGAAGGAUGAGUGCAUGAAUGAAUCUCAGGCAAGGGCCAGCUUCUCUGGGUGCAGCCUCCCUCACUGCUAAGGUAGAAUAACAGCCCAAUACACAGGGUGACUGUGAGCAUCAGCCUGGCACACUGGACAGGAUCUAGGACAUUAAUAAGUGCCUGGCAAAUUCCAGUUUGAAUGGCAAUCAAAGAAAUACAUACUUGAAUUAAAACAAAAAAAGAAGCCAGAGAGGAAAAUUCUUCAGAGGGAAUGGAAACCACAUUAACAGCAUGGAAUUAAAAUUAAAGAUGUGUGAUGCUCUAUGAUGUUUGUAAGAACACAAAAUUAUUUUAAAUUUCCAGCUUUAAUUUCCAGUGUAUGGUUUCAACUGCAUUGCAGCCCUUACAUUGCUGGGGAUUAGUCUCCCCAGAGGAUGAGCUAGUGGCAGGGAGAAUCAAACAGCUGCUGCAGGAGAAGCGAAAUGAAGGGAGCAUGGAGGAGGGGCUGGAAGAAUGAUCUGAAAAAGGAUUAGAAGGAUGCCUGAGUGGGCAAAGGACUUUCUAAUGCGUUCUAUUUGAUUUGCUUGGUGAUGCACACGGCAUUUCCAAUUGGCUGCAUCGCCAGUGAGAUGCCCAACUCACCUCCCCACCUUACGCCCCCACCUCCUAUUCUGAGCUUCAGUCCGUCCUAACCCACAUGAGGGCUGGGAAUGAGGUAAGUCUGUUGUCCUCAUCACUUGAUAACAAGGAAUUUUCCCUAAGCCUGGGGCUGUUGUGAGCACUUCACGUUUGCCAUUCCAUGCAGUAUGUACUGUUGUCCUCCCCUUUCAGGGAACGAGGCAAGAGAGGUAAAAAAGUAACUGGCAGAGAUCACACAGCCAGCCGCAGAGACGGGACCCAAUCCUGGGUACUAGGAGUCUACAGGCCCACCGUCUUAACCACACUGCUACACCACCUGCCAAUCACGGCGCACUAAAGUUCUCUUGUGUUGAUGGAUGCAUCAGAAUGACACUGCAUGAAAACUGCGAAUCAGAAGGCCAUGGAGCCCCCCAGUGGCUCAUGAUGUGGGAAUCAUGGUGGAGUGCACGGUGAAACAAGACUGCUCACUUCAUGGCCAGGGAACAAAGGAGAAGGGAGACGAGGCUGGGGUCCUGCAGUCUCGUUCCAGGGCACAGUCCCAGUGGCCCCCACUAAGCCCCACCCCUGAAAGAUGCCAACACCAAUCUGGGGACUAAGCCUUCAACGCAUAGGCCUUGGGAACAUUCUAGAUCCACGCUGUAGCAAGUAUCGUCUAGGCCUAGUGGCUCGCUUCUGAGGAACAGUUAACCACGCCAGUGGGAGGUCACCCCUGACAUCCAGGCUAUGAAUGACUCUGCUUUCUGUUUUGCUCAUCUGCCUGCUUGCUUGGAAGACAUGAGUUUGCCUGUGUCGAGCUGUGCACACAAAGGCUGACAGCCUGGGAGGACUAAAAGGAGCUGACUGCUGCCUCAGUCUCAUGGGUGAACUUGAAAGCCCGUCGUCCCCCAGCCAAGCCUUGGGAAGACACCAGCCCGGGCUGACUCCUGGACUUCAGUCCAUGGGAGACCCUGUGCCUUGGACUCAGCCAAGCUGUGUUUCAUCUCCAGACCCACAGAAAUUGUAAGACAAGAAAUGCUGCUAUGUUAAGAUGCUGAAUCCGUCACUGACAUAGCUGUUUAAGUGUAUUUCAGAGCUCUGACUCUGCAUCUGACCACAGGCCUAUUUCCUGGCUAGAAAAAGGACAAAAACGUUCAACUGCCAUUGGCAUAAGGUGAAGAUGCAGUGCUAGAUAAAGAAGCAAUUGUGAGAGAGAUGAGGCAUCAGUAUGGCUUUUCCAAUUAGCCCCAGUCUUCCCUAGCUCAACACCCCAGAGUCAUACUGUGCCCCUACACCACUCGGGGGUGGACUGUCCACUGUGCCCCAGCCAGAGCUGGUCCUUUUUGUCCCCUCAGCUGCCAGCCACAGUGUCAGCUGGCCCACACUGCUAAAACUUUGUAGUGUGUGAUUGUUACUCAUUAUGGAUAAUAAUAGUAUAUGCAGUUAUAUAUUCACAAUAUACAAGUAAUGCUAGGACGUGCAGUUUGAUGCAUCACCUGAUCCAUGAGCAAUGGAAAGUUUCCACAGACGCAAAACACCAGUUGCUCCCCCAUGCUUCGCCUCACCAUCUGCCACACAACCACAGAAUCCUGCGUGCCAGCCUGAUGCCAUUUGGGCACGUGGCAAACAGAAGCAGAAAUUUGAAACCCGUGUCUUACCUGGUGCUUAGCAACACGGUAUCCCCACACCUAACUAAAAGGAGGUGGUGUGCAGUGUGAUGGUCACACUGCGGGGAAUGUGCCCUUUGUGGCUGCCAUAUGUGGAUUUCUUCUCUGAGAGCUUGUGAGUCACUAGGAUCUUCAUUUUGGCUCAACCCACUGCCUGCCAUGCUUGGAGAACCAAGUUGAAAAGAGCAGGAGCAUUUUCAGUGAUAAUAAGCAUGUUCCUAUAGCCAACUCCUCCAUCUGUUCCUACAGUUUCCGUCUACAGGAAUGUACAAAGGUUCUGCAAAACAGAUUUAAGACUAGCCAAGGUCCAUGUCCAAUCAGCCGUUGCAGAUGGGGUCAUCAAGGACAGGAAACUGCUGCUCGGGAAGAGAUGCUGAGAAACUUCUGAUCUUUGCCCUUCAUUUCUGGCUUCAGGGGGAAAGCUGACAGGUACAAUGAAGAUAAAUUCACUGCGGAGGAAAGGAAAAAAGUACUUCAGAUGCAGGACUCUGCUGUUCUAAGUAAACAGUGAUUCAGUGGCUUUCUUAUGAGGGGUGAUCGAUAAAUAGGGUGAAUGUUUAAAUUUUUUUUUUUUUUAAACUCAUUACAGUAAAAGACACAUUGCCAAGAAUCAUGGGAUAAGUGAGUUUGAAGUGAGAUGGAAUAUUCUGAGUAU